rnacentral:rRNA from 1 species
UGAAUACGUUCCCGGGUCUUGUACACACCGCCCGUCACACCACGAGAGUUUGUAACACCCGAAGCCGGUGAGGUAACCUUUUAGGAGCCAGCCGUCUAAGGUGGGAUAGAUAAUUGGGGUGAAGUCGUAACAAGGUAGCCGUAUCGGAAGGUGCGGCUGGAUCACCUCCUUU